GGCUGGUACUCAAAUGUAGUGAGUGAUCUCAAUUGAUUAUUCACAGCAAGUUACAGAUCGAACUCCUUGUUCUACUGUUUUCCCCCUUCUCACUACUGCAUUUGACUAGUCUUUA
ensembl:Y_RNA Y_RNA Y RNA